GUCCCUGUAGCACAAUGGGUAGUGCGUUGGACUUCCAAUUCAAAGAUGGUGGGAUUGUAUCCCAUUUCGGAUG